AAGUCUAUUUUCUGAGCAUUUUGGCAGAACACCAUUAUGUACGCCUGCAUAUUCUCAAGAACUGUCAUCCGAAGACGACAAUGACAAGGUAGAAGGUGCAUGUGGCGCCGUAAUGGAAAACCGCAUCGGGUCCUUCGUUUCUGGGCAGCCUGCGGAAUCAAGCAAUGGCUCCACUGACGAUGAUGGUAAUGACGGUGAUGCGUUUUCACAGGAUGAUAGCAUCCGACGUUUCCACGAAUCUGGCUGUGGGUGUGCUAAGAAAUACCACGAGAAAUUGGAUGCCUCCCAAAUCAUAGCGCACAUCCUUGACACGCUGGAAAUGACGAGGGAAGAAAAAGAAAUGUACAUUAAAGGCUGUUUGUCCGAAGGUCCCAAAAAUGACUCUACAAAGCGUGGGAAAAAGAUAAUUUGAAUUCGUGGAAAAUACACAUUCCGCGGUAAGGAAUAUACGUUCAGAAUGUUGUUUGACAUAGGACGCUUUGCAUUAAAAUCAAUAAGGCAGUCAUUAAACAAGACCGGCCCGGGACCACGCCGGCAUGGAAAUACUGGAAGAAAACCAAAAAAUGCUCUGGUCUUCACAGAUGUCGAGCGUGUGGUCCAAUUCAUCUGCAACUAUGCGGAAGAAUUCGGAAUUCCACAACCUGCAGCUCCACGUGGGAGAGACGAUACGGCACCGAUAUACCUACAAAGCGGUACAACGAAAAUGAACAUUCAUAAGCUGUACAGAGCAAGCUGUCAAGAGGCUGGUGUGCGUUUCGUAGAAAAAGCUUCUUUAAGUCAAUAUGGAGUGCCUGCAUCCCACAUAUAAAGGUUGCAUCCCCUAGAGACGAUGUGUGCGCGACCUGUGAGAAGUUGCGAAAGAAGAUUAUGGAUUCAGUAUCGAAAGAGGACAAACUAGCUUUCACUGAAGAAAAUGCAUAGUCAUACUGUUUUGGCACAAAAAGGAAGAGACCUUUACAACAGUCUCAUUAAAAAAGCAAAAGAAACGUCACAUCUAUGUCCAGAUGAACGAUCAAACCACUUCACAUUUGAUUUCGCGCAAAGUGUAGGUAUACCGCAACAUGCACGACAGAUGGGGCCACUAUAUUUCGCAUCGUUAAGAAAAGUCCACAUUUUCGGAAUGAGAAUUGAUGGACAAUCACGCCAAUUGAAUUUUCUUAUCGACGAAAAUGAGAGCAUCGGUGCAGAUGGAACUAAUGCCCAGGGACCAAACGCUGUCAUCUCGGUGAUAGACUACGUGCUCAACACCCAUGGAUGCGAAGACCUGUCGUGCACAAUACACGCUGAUAAUUGUCCGGGAGAGUUGAAUUUUCAUCGUGAUCAUUAUAAUUUCAUUUUCCGUUUUAAACAUAAUAUAAUGUUAUGAUAAUAUUGGAAUAAUUUUAUUGGUUAUAUUUAUCGUGAUAAUAGUAAAGCGAAUCAUAAAUGAUCAUAGCAUAUGAUAUUACAUUGAUUUUAAAAUCAAUGAUGAUUGAAGUGUGCUGAUUGAUCAUGACGACGACGACAACGAUGGUGGUAAAAAAAGGUGAUUAUGGUAAUAAUGGUGAUGUUGAUGCUGAUGACGAUGAAGAUGAUGAUCGUGAAGUGAACGAUGACUGAUGAAUAUGAUCUUGAUAUCUUGAUUAAAGUUAUUGUUGUUGCUUUCAGGUCAAAACAAAAAUCAGUUUGUGCUUGGGUACUUCGCAUGGCGAGUCCUGACACGGCGUCACACUUCAUAAACUUCAUUAAGAAUAACAGGUUCCCGGUCAUUCACGGUGUUUGGUGGAAAGUGGGUUCGCCCAUAUUGAAAAGCUGUACAGACGCUCGGACCGUGACAGCAUUCAGCAGUUAGAUGAUAUUGUCAACAAGUCGUCUACUGCAAACGAGGCUGUCUGAUAUCCGACCUGGCGCUGGCGUGACUGGAAGACUUUCUUGUCUACAUCUUUUUAAGCAAUACCCGGGAUAAGGAAGUACCAGUACUUCAGGUUCGACUCAUCGAGGCCCGGCACGGUUUUCGCGAAGAAAGCAACGGACCAACCAGAGGAAGAGUUCUUCAACAUGAAACACAGGGAACUUCCCUCAGCAGAACCGUGCUUAAUUAAACCGGCAGGGCUAUCAGAGAAUCGCGUGAAAUACCUUUACAAAACUGGCCGACCAUUUGUGGACAUUACCUGUCCAACACCCACAGACUGAUUGCAUGUUAUUACAUCAUGUAUGAAACAUCAUCCUAAACAGUCAUUUUAAUCCAUGAGCAGGUUUAUGAAGGGUUUCCAACAAUUUAUUGUAAAAUUAGAACAAGUGUUUGAUAUUGCGAAAUAUUUACAUGCUGUAAACGUCAUAAAUGCGUCAUUCUGAAUGAAAAUGACGCGACGUCAACAUCUUUGUUGCGUUACAGUAUGCGUAUAUAAAGUUAUCAUAGCAACGCUAAAUAGUGGCGUACACAUGUAAUGUAUACAUCAUUGGUUUCGUGGAUGAACGUACAAUAUAAAACUGCAAAAACCUAAAAAUGUAUUAUUUUGUCAUUAAUGCAGAUUUUGUCGUGGAACGGCUCAUAUAUUUAUUAAUAUUGAAGUUUCACGAAGUUAAAUAUGGCUUAAAGACUCACACAAGCUAAGUAGUCUCCCCAAUCACGCUAUCCAGUUGACCAGAAAUACUUAAAUCUUUGGAAGGUAAAUUAUAUCAUUUAUCACAAUAUGUAAUAGAGCAUAUCGAAAUUACACGUGUAAAUUUAUUAUGCAUCUUUUUAUGCCCGUGCAUUUUAGUGAGUUAACAUUGACUUAACAAUCUCUGAUCAUGGGUUUGUUGAACCUUUCGAUGAUAAAGUGGUACGAUUUGUUACACACAGUUAAAAGUAUUGAAACAUAUCGACUUUCUCUGACAACUCGUACACCGGGACUUAUAGUAACACUUCCCGUGAUAUAUGGAUUAUAGAGACGAGGUCUGGACUACAAUAACAAUAAUAACUACAAGAGUAUCAAUCUGAAACCAGCGAGAACCACUCAAGUCAAUAUGUAAUAUGGUAAUACAAGGCAGAAAUAGAUGCGUUUUGUAGAUUGAGAAUUGAAAACGCCAAGAGUGUCGUAAAUUUGAUAGCGGGAUUUAUGUUUUGUAAUCAUCAGUUAGUCAUAAAUUUUGC